AGGGAACCUGAAGCCAAAGGAUGGACGAAAACGAGCUUCUUCUUCGGGAACUUGUUCGAAAAGUUCUUCGCUUGAGAAACAUGUCCAUAUAUUAUAAAUGAAACAGAAGCUAUGAAUAUGGGGCAGGGCUUGUAAUUUAAUGCUUGUUUGUGGAAGCAAGGCAUAAAUAUGCUUGCAAGCUAAAUGAAAUUUGUGCUUUGUUUGUUCCUGGUGUUAUGCCUUUGAUUCUGGACAUUGCUUAUUAGUCCAUUGGAUUUGUGACUAGCCAAGAAUAUGUGAUUGAACGAGGAACGAAGAUAUGUGCAAAAGAAGAAAGCACAAGACAGAAGAAAAA
rnacentral:misc_RNA from 1 species